UACGUAGGGCGCAAGCGUUAUCCGGAAUUAUUGGGCGUAAAGAGCUCGUAGGCGGUCUGUCGCGUCGGAUGUGAAAACCCAGGGCUCAACCCUGGGCCUGCAUUCGAUACGGGCAGACUAGAGUUCGGUAGGGGAGACUGGAAUUCCUGGUGUAGCGGUGAAAUGCGCAGAUAUCAGGAGGAACACCGAUGGCGAAGGCAGGUCUCUGGGCCACUACUGACGCUGAGAAGCGAAAGCAUGGGGAGCGAACAGG
rnacentral:rRNA from 1 species